rnacentral:rRNA from 1 species
GACGAACGCUGGCGGCGUGCUUAACACAUGCAAGUCGAACGAUGAAGCCCAGCUUGCUGGGUGGAUUAGUGGCGAACGGGUGAGAAACACGUGGGCAACCUGCCCCAAACUCUGGGAUAACUCCUCGAAAGAGGUGCUAAUACCGGAUACGAACUAGACAGACAUCUGUACUAGUUGGAAAGUUUUUCGGUUUGGGAUGGGCCCGCGGCCUAUCAGCUUGUUGGUGAGGUAACGGCUCACCAAGGCUACGACGGGUAACCGGCCUGAGAGGGGCGACCGGUCACACUGGGACUGAGACACGGCCCAGACUCCUACGGGAGGCAGCAGUGGGGAAUAUUGCGCAAUGGGCGAAAGCCUGACGCAGCGACGCCGCGUGAGGGAUGAAGGUCUUCGGAUCGUAAACCUCUUUCAGUAGGGACGAAGCGAAAGUGACGGUACCUAAAGAAGAAGCACCGGCUAUCUACGUGCCAGCCGCCGCGGUAA